rnacentral:ncRNA from 1 species
AAAGACUUAGUCCUAACCUUGCUAUUGGUUUUUGCUAGACAUAUACAUGCAAGUAUCCGCACCCCAGUGAAAAUGCCCCACAUCCUUUACCCCAAGCAAGAGGAGCAGGUAUCAGGCACACUAAUGUAGCCCAAGACGCCUUGCCUAAGCCACACCCCCACGGGUAUUCAGCAGUAGUUAACCUUAAGCAAUAAGUGUAAACUUGACUUAGCCAUAGCAAUCCCUCGGGUUGGUAAAUCUUGUGCCAGCCACCGCGGUCAUACAAGAAACCCUAGUCAAUAGCCCCCGGCGUAAAGAGUGGUCAUAUGCUAUCUACAACCCUAAGAUCGAAAUGCAACUAAGCUGUCAUAAGCCCAAGACUCACUUAAGCUCAACUUUAACCCAUCUUAGUCCAAUGAUUAAUUUAACCCCACGAAAGCCAGGGCACAAACUGGGAUUAGAUACCCCACUAUGCCUGGCCCUAAAUCUAGACACCCGCACACCCGAGUGUCCGCCUGAGAACUACGAGCACAAACGCUUAAAACUCUAAGGACUUGGCGGUGCCCUAAACCCACCUAGAGGAGCCUGUUCUGUAACCGAUAAUCCACGAUUCACCCAACCACCCCUUGCCAGUACAGCCUACAUACCGCCGUCGUCAGCCCACCUGAAAUGAAAGACCAACAGUGGGCUCAAUAGCCCCCGCUAAUAAGACAGGUCAAGGUAUAGCCUAUGGGGUGGGAGAAAUGGGCUACAUUUUCUACCAUAGAAUAGACGAAAAAGGACGUGAAAUUCGUCCUUGGAAGGAGGAUUUAGCAGUAAAAUGGGACCAUAACCCUAAGCCCACUUUAAGCUGGCCCUGGGGCACGUACAUACCGCCCGUCACCCUCUUCACAGGCCACCAGUAUUGAUAAAUAAUACCUCACCCCCCAGCCAAAGACGAGGUAAGUCGUAACAAGGUAAGCGUACCGGAAGGUGCGCUUAGACCAC